AAAGCGACUAUUAAGCUAGUGUAAUCACAGAUCUGUGUGCUAUAUUUUGGAAACAAACUCCAAUAUGAAGAGUGGAUUGUUCACCAUCCUAGUCAUCCUGGCAGUACUAGUGGUAGUUGCAGAAUCCUAUGGAAGAAGGUACGGAGGAAGAAGCCUCUAUAGGCACGUGCAUGGGUAUGGAGUGAGACAUUUAUACAGAUACAGUCAUAAUUAUU